GACGAACGCUGGCGGCGUGCCUAAUACAUGCAAGUCGAACGCAGUGGGGACGGGUGCGUAACACGUGGGUAACCUCCCAUCAGAGGGGAUAACAGUUGGAAACAGGUGCUAAAACCGAUACUGAUGGAUGGACCCGCGGUGGAUUAGCUAGUGGGUGGGGUAACGGCUCACCAAGGCCACGAUGCCUAGCCGGCCUGAGAGGUGGAUCAGCCACACUGGGACUGAGACACGGCCCAGACUCCUACGGGAGGCAGCAGUGGGGAAUCUUCGGCAAUGGGCGAAAGUCUGACCGAGCCACGCCGCGUGAGUGAAGAAGGUUUUCGGGUCGUAAAACUCUGUUGUUAGGGAAGCGUUAUCUAACCAGAAAGCCACGGCUAACUACGUGCCAGCCGCCGCGGUAAUAC
rnacentral:rRNA from 1 species